UCGACCUUGGUAUUUGCUUAAAUUAUCUACCAAUCGAACUGAACACGUAUAUGAAAUAUUUGAAUUUAGAAAUAACGAAACGAUAAUCUAACUUAACAAUGGAUUUGCUCAUACGAUAGACUAAAAUACGUAGCUAGCUUCUGAACAUUUCCACUUCACUGUUACAGAAAUACCCUUAUGCUAACAAGGACCAGAUAUCAUGCGCCGUUAAGCAUUCCAUAAGACGGACGGCUGGCUCCCAGCACGAACGAAGGCUUCUCUGUCUAUGCCCUAUGGGUUCGAACCUGGACCACAGCGUGUCGACAAGAUUACCAAGCCAUCAUAGGGACGUGACCUAUCCAGCAUUCGUAGUCGUUCGAUUGACGCCGCGUUGAGUAAACAGCAGAUGAGCCGUCGACCGCUAUGACUGAGCAAACUGGGCGAGAAACAGGUAGCUAUUACAAUGGACUACCUGUAAACUUAGCUUGGAUACGUCUAUGCUUACUUAUUAAGGGACUAGCCGAGACGGUCAUAGUCUUUAUCCACAGGACACAGUCUCACUAUAGUUAUAUUCUAUGAACCUGUAAACUUUAUCUGAGUAACGUGAUCGUUUGCCUGCUACAAACGUCAUGCAUCGCCAAUACACAUAUUUAAUUCUUAAUGCAUUUGUUAAUAUUUAGACAUAUACAAAGCUUGAUUAAAUAUAAUAUAAAGCUCGAAUGUCAGCGGGGCGGGGGGGACGCGCUAUACUGCUUGCGUAUGAAAAAGCUACAGAUAGUUUUCAAAAUUAAUAACUGGAUUUUCUACGACACUUACCAAGCCACUUCUAUAACUAGGCCGCUCAAAAAACGCACCAAAUUGAAUUUUAUAUGCACUUAUCAAAAUGAACUCAUAAAGUUAUGGCAAAAUAACUGUCGAAACAGUAACACACGUUUAACCAUGAUACUGAGACAAAAAACUGAGUGCUUUCAUCGUCAUUAUUUAUUUGGCCGUGGACCUGAACUUCUUACGCUGGGGCCCUGUGUGUUUCGCCUCCUAAAGAGCCAUAAAUUUUUCUAGAGCCGUGAACUCAACGAACACGCGACUUUUAAAUGCGUCCAGAUAUAUAUAUAUAUAUAUAUAUAUAUAUACACGUCCACAAUCUUUUGUCACCGCAAUACUUUUUCGUUUUGUCCGUUUGCCUGCUGUUGUCGAUGGGUUCACCAGUUUCGCCUGAGUUGUGACCAACAAUAGAAGUCACCGUCAAAUCACCAUCACAGGCCCAGAUAUGUUUCUUUAUUUAUCGGGCGUAUAAGCAUCAUGAAAUCUACAAUCUCAGCUUUUUCUACGAGUAAGUUGUUUUCGUCUGAGUCUGGCUGUGCGUGUGAUAUUACAUACACAACUCAUACAAACAUAUAUAUAUAUUGGUUAUGUUCAUCCACACUGGACUGGUGGGUCCCGUCGGCGAACUUUUCGAGUCGAAAAAUGAAAAAAAAACAAGAGAAGGAAAACGAGGCCGGAGCAAGGUCGCACUAGGCGCCGGUGGGCAUAGGGUCUUAUGUCGGCAAGGUGAACAGCUUACGACAAAUCGACCAGAGCCUCAGCUAAUAACAGCAAAGAUCUGAUAUUGUAGGCAGGGGAGCAGGCGGCCAACGACCUUACCGAAUUGUCUAGUAUAUUGUGACAGCAGAACGGCCAAUAUUACUAGCCAACUACGAAGUCAAGUCAAGUCAAGUCAAGUCACUAGAAACGAGAUCUCAACGACGCAACCGCAGUUGGUGGACGACACCACAGGUCUUCUUUUGUGCGAGCCUAGCAAGCCAUAGGUACAACGAAGGUCAAUAUGUUGAAAAGAGUAUGUGAAACAAUCAAGUUGACAGGCCCACAUGCAUUAACGGAAACAGCAGUGAGAGGCGCAUUCGCGCGAGACGCGAACACAGGAAUAAUACCAAAUUCACAGAUGUUAACGAUAUCAACAACAACAACAACAACAACACCCGUAUCAAGAAUCGAGGCUGAGUUAUAAGAGGCGCUGGAGUCGGCAAAUACAUCCGUUAAAUAUUCUAUCGCAACGCCUUUGGGUCACGAGAUAGUUAUGUAAUAAUAAAUUUUACUUCUGCAUGCAACACACAGAUCUGCAUAGUGGACUGAUUUGUGCUAAAACUAAGCCAUAUUUUAAGUAAAUAUGAUAAUAUAGCAUUGAUUUAAUUAUUUAGGAGAAAGGGGCAGCUAUUAUCAUAGCGUAUUCAAACUGGCUGAUCAGGUCCAAUUCUUAUGUUAGCCAAGCGUUUUUCUUGCAGCCAAAAAAAACCGCUAGCAUAAUCUCCACCUGCCCAAAGUACGAGAUAAUCAGGCCUGUCUGUAAACCCUAGGUUUUCCAGCGAGCGAAGCUAAUGCAAUUGGAUAAGAUUAUAUUGUAAUCUUCAGAGAGGUAAGGGGAAACAUCAUA